ACAGCAGUUUGGCCAAACGGUUGAUUUUUACAUGUGCUUUAUAAAUAAAAUUUUAUUUGAUUUAAUUUUGAUUUAUAUUCAAAGGUAUGAUGGCAUCAAAGCAUGUCCGAAUCCAAUGUUAGCUUCACAUCCUAUCUCCUGAGAUCUGAUACAUUUUUGAAGGCAACAUGUGUCCUUCACUGCCUUGAUAUCCCACAAUUCUGUGUAUUCCAUUCCGUGACAGUUGAGCUAAAAAUAAAAUAACCAGGGCACCUGAAUGUUGCGUUUCUGAGUAAGAUUUACUCUUAUAGUAAUUAAAUAUUCUCUCCGUUAUCACCAAAGCUUGUUAUAUUUUCGUUUAGUUUUUUUCUUGUAGACCAGUAACAACCUGGUCUCACAGAAUUCCGUGAAAUGUCCACGGGCCCUUAACUCAAAAUCCGUGAAGCCAUCACGGAAUUGCCCCAAAUUCCGUGACCCGGCCACGGAUAUUUCUCCAACGCAAGUCAAUGACACUGACCUCCCGUGGUCCACACACGGAUACCCGUUUCAAUGACGGAGUACAGAACUCGCUGAACGGACGUGCUUUCUCAUUUGGAAACGCAACAUUUGAAGUAUUUGUUUCUUUUCCAAUAUCAAAUGCCAUAAUGACAUUAACCAGACAGCUGUUGUAGUUAUUGCAUUGUCCUGUCAUCAUAAAAAUUACGUUUGUUUCAGUUACAAAAGUCCCGUGAUGGCACGGACCUCCACAACCUGACCUCACUCACUUGUUUAGGAACUUACAAGAUUUUCGUCGACACUGUUGCAAUGGCAUGUAAUUAACUUGGCAUUUUUUCUCGUCCUGUCAUCAUAAAAUCCAGUUUGAUGGCGUUUUACACACAUUUUGGCUAUAGUCCGAACUAAAAUCUGUGAUAGGAGCACGGAGUGAGUCUGUGCUCUAACGCAAGUCAAUGGCACUCAUCUUCCGUGGUCCGUACACGGAUCGUUUCAGUGAUGGAGUACAGACCUCACUCAAUGGACGUGCUAUCUCAUCUGGAAACGCAACAUUUGAAGUAUUUAUUUUUUACAACACCAAAUACCAUGACCAACCUGACUGUUGUUGUAACUAUUGCAUUGUCCUGCCAUCAUACAGAUUCACUUUGAUUCUGUUAGCCUAAAUAAAAUCUGUGAUACGAGCACGGAGUGAGUCUGUGCUGAGAUCACGGAUAACUCUAACGCAAGUCAAUGACACUCUUCUUCCGUGGUCCACACACGGAAACCCAGUCUCACGGCAGUUCGUGAUUUUGUCACGUAAUUUAAUCUAUUUAUUCGUGGCAGGCACACGUUUAUUUCCUUAUUUUCAUGAUUGCAGGACGUUUUUUAAACUAAUGCAUUUCAACUGGAGGCAUCUUUCGUGCAUCAGCACAAUAUUUUCUGAUUAAUUAUUAUUAUUAUUAUUUAAUUUUUCACAGGACAACAGAAGAAACUCACUGAAACUUGAAAAAAAAAAACCCGGAGCUUAACUUACUGUACAAAACUGAGCAACAUACUGUAUUGCUGGUGACAAAAACACAUUAAAACUUUUUUAGCUGUAAAAUGCGCAAUGGUUAUUUUUUUACUUUUUCAUUGAUUUUUAUUUUUUUCAUAGGCCUAGAUUUUUUAUUUUUUUUUAUUACAGAAUUCAAUAUCAAGUCCUUGACACAUAACUGUAACACAUUUUCACAUUAAGAAACAAUUUAGUUUAAAUAAAAAGAACAAAAAAAUAUAUAAAAAUAAAUAAAUAAAUUAUUUAUUAGCGAUAGGCCUACAGAUUAUUUUUUUUAAUUUAUUUUUUAUUUUUUUACUUUAGACUCUAAAGUUAAAAGUUUUUAUUAAGGCUAUUGUAAAGGCUUCUUAAAAAUGAUGUCGCUGAUGAGCCUCUGAUCGCUGUCAGAUUCUGUGAUAUGAAUGUCCGCUAAUGGGUUUAGAAUGAGCCCCGCUCGGCCCGUGUUCUGGCUUACUGUAAUAUUUCACCUGUAAUAAGACCGAAAUAAUAUAAUUAAAAUAAAGAAAUGAAUGAAUACAUGAUAACAUCUAAAUAAAUGUUGAUAGAUUUAGCGUUAUAGUUUUUAAAAUAUUAAUAAACAGCAAAUCAACACAGAAAGACCUAAAUAAUAAUAAUACAUAAUUAAUAAACAGCGCCGCCCCUCCCACCACGCGCAUCACGCGCUGUGCGUCAACCCCAAAGCGUCAAAAACUGAAGCGUGGUCAAGCGCCUCUAGCGUCACUGACAUGAGAUGUUUAUCGCUUUGAAAUCACGUUCAAGAAGUCUCAUUCAGCACACAUCGCGAUACUUUCCAUCAGUUUGCAAGAGCUGCAGGUUGGGUGAGUUAUACAGUCUAUGGUGAGUAGUAGUAAAUAUGCUCUUUUAAUGCCUGUCAUAAAACGUAUUCUGUCUUCUUUAUUAAUCAGAUGAGCGCCUUAUGUUUACUCUCUGUAUUACAUCGGUCAUCCGAGGCUGUCUUUGAGUUUCAUUGUGUUUAACUAAAUGAACACAGCUGCUAACUGGUUAAACUCUAUCUGUUCUGUUUUAUGUUCUUUCCCCUUGUAUUAAUUUUUUAGCUGAAAAGACGUAAAGUAAGCAGUCACCCCAGUGGUGCUUGUGGAGAGGUAUUCCUUCAGAAAUGGAGAAGACAGAAAGCUGCAGAGGCAGGAUUGUUUGCAGAUAAUGCUGUUCUUCUUUUUCAGAAGUUUUUGGGGAGCCAACCCUCACAAACCUUCCUAAAAACUAAAAGAGCUAUUACUGAGUCUCAGCGACUCUUGCCACGAUCAGCUCUUCCCAGAAGAGAAGGAAGACCAAGGAAAUGAUUUGCUCAGGAUGAGAAAUGAAGAUGGUCAUCUUGUGCUCAAGCAAACAGAAGUCCACUGAUGAUCUCAUCAACCAAAUGAGGGGUUUUGACCAAGUGAUGCUCUUGAAAGGACUGAAAGAAGAGGAUGUGGUAAAUUGUCUUCAGAGAAAAAGCUUCUCAAAAGAUCUUAAAACAGCUUGAAGAAUGGUCUGGGAUCUUAGGACUGGGAGAUCUCACUGGCACCCAGUUAACCUCCAUAGAGAACAUUUAUCAGAAGCGCUGUCUGGGCAGGGUAAGAAACAUCAUCAAGGAUGCCUCUCACCCUAACCAUGGACCUUUCACCCUCCUUCCAUCCGGCAGGCGUUACAGAAGCCUACGCUCUCGAACUAGUAGACUCAGGAAGAGCUUCUUCCCCGAGGCUGUGACACUCCUGAACGCCACACCACCAAUCUAACCUGCACCUGCUCUUUUACUGCACUGGUCACAGUACUUUACAUACAUGUAUUGCACUACUCAUAUUUUGCACAGACUGCACAUGGUUAAAUCCAUUACACUAUAAACUGUCUAAAGCUGUUACUGUACAAGCACAGUAAACUAUUUCUACAAUAAAUAUAAUUGCACUACUAUUAUUUUGCAUAUAAUAAAUUGUUAAACUAUACUUUUGCACACUCAUUCAACUGUAUUUAUUACCACUGUUCUCAAGUUCCUGCUAUUCAUAAUGUAUAUAUAAUCCUUCUUUGCUCUGUUCAUAAUGUACAUACACUCCCUACAUUACAUUCAUAUUUAUAUUCUGUAUAUACUCUGAUCAAUAUUGUAUAUAGCAACUCCACUGUAAAUUCUGUAUAUCAUAGCUUUACUUACUCUGCACUUUUAUGUAUAUAAAACACUAUAUUCUUGCACUUCUGGUUAGAUGCUAACUGCAUUUCAUUAGCUCUGUACUUGUACUCUGCAUAAUGACAAUAAAGUUGAAUCUAAUCUAAUCUAAUCUAAUCUUCUGGCUGAGAACAAGCUACACCACAUCAGUGCUGGAUAUCAACCAAAAGCUGUUUCCAGACACGAGAGAAGAUCACGAUGAAACCAGUUUAGAUGUGUUGAUAAGGAAUCAUUAUUUUCUGAAACAGUAUCACAUGUCUUAUAAGUAUCACAUGAUCUGUAUCACAGUUGACUGAAUGGGACUGUGACUUUUAAGGACAUUUCAUCACUCAUCUGUGUGAACUGAUUAAUAUAUGAGGUUAAUGUAUUUUUGAUUAUGAAUAAUUAUUUUCCUUGAAUCUUAUUUGUCUUGAUGCUACUUUAUCAUCUUUAUAGUCUAUGCUUCAAUAAAAUGAAUAUGAUGAA